rnacentral:lncRNA from 1 species
AUUCAACCAAUCAUGCAAAUAUUGUCACAGGCCAUUCGAUUCAAAAUACAAUUUAUAACACAACAAGUAGCAAUCUCCAAUUACUUUUGAAUUUCUUGGUUAAAAUGAAAUCACCUUUUAAAAGAAUUCAAAUUUGAUCUUCAAGGGGAUAUUUUAAAUCUUUCUCAAAAUAUCGGUCUCCACAUCACGUUAAAACUCUCUUU